CUCUUGCUACAUAAGUAGAGUAGAGGAAAGUUUUUUCGCUUCACGAUGAGCCUGCGGCCUAUUAGCCUGUUGGUAGAGUAAUGGCCUACCAAAGCUACGAUAGGUAGCCGACCUGAGAGGGUGACCGGCCACAUUGGGACUGAGAUACGGCCCAGACUCCUACGAG
rnacentral:rRNA from 1 species